UUUGUAAAUCGAAUUUAGCAAUCAGAGAUUCUGGUUAAGCAAGUUCUAAUUUUCAUAAAGCAUUUGAUACUAGUUUGUAAAUUAAUUUUCUUGUCUGUAUAAGUGCUUUUUCAGAGUUUGGUAAAUAUAAACAUUGUUUAAAGACGAGUUAGGUUAGAGCUUCUCCAACGGAGACUUUUAGAUGAAACUUUGAGAAGCUCUUAUGCCAAAUGUAAUUAAAAUUAAAUCAAAAAUGGUAAAUAUAACACCAACCGCCUCUUAUUUAGGAGGUUAAAGAGCCGCCUCUUAAUAGCGACGUAUCACUACAUGGUUGGUUGGAACUUUUUUUUUUGUCCGAUCUCAUCUCUCUCACGAUGGCAAGUUCUUCUGACUUUGCUCGAAGAGAUCGGCCAAGUGAAGAAGAAGAAGAGAGAGAUUCUGUGAAGAAAAUAUCGAAGCGAUCUAUUACGGUUCAUUGGCUUGAGGAUUCUUCGUUCUUGUUUCGAUCAUGUUUGUAUUUUAUAAGUCUGUGCAAAGUUUUGUUCUCCCUCUUUGUGAUUAACUUCAGAAAUCUCAUUUGGUAUACGUUUCCUUUUUGUUAUCAUUUCUGCUAAUCACAUAUGCUUGUGAUUGUUGAUUCUCUUUAUAUGAAUUACUUCGCUUCAAUAAAGGUAUGUUAAUAUUUUCCUGGUGAAACCUGAAGCUUUACUGCUGCACUUGUUGAUGGUGGUAACACGGUGUUAGUAUUGUUGUCUGGAUCUAACAAAAGUCCAAAUUUGGUCUCUAAUGGAAGUGGCAUAAGUGAAUCUUCUUCAGUCUCGGUAACUGGUUUCAGUUUUCUCAGUCUUUCCUUUGCUUUCUCAGCUGCUUGUAGAGCCUUUUCACUGCUUAAAGUUAUCAGUUUCCAUGGGUUUAUGCUUACAUGAAAACCUGGUUUCUUGUUGAUCAGCGUGGAAGUCUGCAUAUGUUCUAUGGCUGCUGGAUAUGAAUUUAGUAUUAUGCAUAGGAGUUUGGAUGUUAUAUAGUGGAGGUUCUGAUUCGUUCUGCUUGCCUACACUCCCCUGUAUCUGUACAUCAUAAGUUUGUGAGAUGAGAGUUCAGAUGACACUCCUGGGGAGAAUAAAGCAGCAAUGGAUUUCAUAAAGUGGCUAUUUGACAACACAAUCGUUAAGGCCACAAAAGUGUUUGUGAAGAUUACAAAGGUUAGGAGCGAGCUUUUCAAUAGUUACAAUGACGAUGGUGUUAACAAGAAGGGGAAAGAUGCCAAAUUCAACAAUUGACUCGAGGAAAAGCUGAUGACCUCGGUCCUCCUCUCCAUUGUGGUCGUACUGGUCUUCUGAUUUCUAGAGUCUGUACUUGCAACAUUUUUAUUUUGAAAUUGAUAUUUCUUCAAAAAUAAAAACCCCAAUAAGAGUUUUACCAUUGGAGAGAAUAGUUUUAUUUAACC